UCUUCUGGAUGAGUUGCGAACGGGUGAGUAACGCGUAGGUAACCUGCCUGGUAGCGGGGGAUAACUAUUGGAAACGAUAGCUAAUACCGCAUAACAUUGACUAUUGCAUGAUAGUCAAUUGAAAGGUGCAAAUGCACCACUACCAGAUGGACCUGCGUUGUAUUAGCUAGUUGGUGUGGUAACGGCUCACCAAGGCUACGAUACAUAGCCGACCUGAGAGGGUGAUCGGCCACACUGGGACUGAGACACGGCCCAGACUCC
rnacentral:rRNA from 1 species